AGCAGCCGCCGCGGUAAAACGAGGGGUGCAAGCGUUAUUCGGAUUGAUUGGGUGUAAAGGGUGUGCAGACGGCUUAUUAAGUCACUUGUUAAAUUCUUCGGCCUAACUGAAGGUCUGCAAGUGAUACUGAUGAGCUAGAGGGUGGAAGAGAGAAGUGGAAUUCUCGGAGUAGCGGUAAAAUGCGUAGAUCUCGAGAGGAACACCAAUGGCGAAGGCAGCUUCUUGGUCCAUUCCUGACGUUCAUACACGAAAGCGUGGGGAGCAAACAGGAUUAGAUACCCCAGUAGUCCCUGUCUCUUAUAA
rnacentral:rRNA from 1 species